rnacentral:rRNA from 1 species
AGAAGAUACCAAAGGCGCACGGCGGAUGCCUUGGCGCGGGAAGUCGACGAAGGACGCGGCAAGCUGCGAUAAGCUCGGGGGAGGGGCAAACACCCGCCGAUCCCGAGGUCUCCGAAUGGGGGAACCCACCCAGGGCCAUGCCUGGGUACCCCCGCCCGAACGCAUAGGGCGGAGGGAGGCAACCGGGGGAACUGAAACAUCUAAGUACCCCGAGGAAGAGAAAUCAACCGAGAUCCCGGGAGUAGCGGCGAG